GAUGAACGCUGGCGGCGUGCCUAACACAUGCAAGUCGAACGGCAACACAGUGAGCUUUCGCUUUUACCGUUGGCGGCUGGCGGGCGAGUAACGCGUGCAUCACCUACUUCUUUUUCGUGGAGAAUUACGUAAAGCAGCAUCCGCUACUAGCGAAUAUAUUGUACCGCUGGGUUCAGUGGAUAUUCGCAGCUUUCGCGUCUGAAUUAGCCGAUGCCGGAUUAGCUAGUUGGCUGGGUAAAGGCCCACCAAGGCAACGCUCCGUAGCCGGUCUGAGAGGGUGAUCGGCCACACUGGAACUGAGACACGGUCCAGACUCCUACGGGAGGCAGCAGUGGGGAAUCUUGGGCAAUGGGCGCAAGCCUGACCCAGCCAUACCGCGUGAGUGAUGAAGGCCUUCGGGUCGUAAAGCCCUUUUAUUGGGGAAGAACAGCUGUGGGAGAAUACCCGGCCGUCCUGACGGUACCCAAUGAAAAAGCACCGGCUAACUACGUG
rnacentral:rRNA from 1 species